UGAAGGUUGUUGCUACUCAUUUAAGCACAUCACACUUUAAUGGCUUCAGGUUUUUUAUUACUAUUAUUUUUGAGAAAGAGAUGAAAUAUGAGUGUAUUUAAUGUAAACUAGAAUGUUUCUGAAGUGUGAUAGUCAUUAUGUAGUAGAACAAGUUAAGAUCCUUGAAAUCCAGUGUGAACAGAUUAAAGAGAUCUCAGAUGGUUAAAAGUAAGGUCACAAUCAUAGAAACAAAGGUUAUGUUCUUGAGACAUUAAUUUCGGUUGAAUGAUAUAGAAUUGCCACCUUUUAAGAUAAAAAACAGUCACAUAUUGGCAAUUUCAAAUGGUCCACUUGAUAGAUGUUCAGGAGGGAAGGAAUGCAGAAGGGAGUGUGAAGGAAAGAGCGCAGGUCUUCAGGUGUUGUGCCAUUAGCCAGGGCCAUCACUGUUUAAUACUGAAUGGCUGAGCUCUUGCAGAUGUAGAUCAAGCAAUAUUUAGUUGUCUCUUCUCUUUGGAAGAAAGGGGUUGCAAAAUAUUCCACAUCAGCAGGUGUAUAGAAGCCUUCGGGGAUUUUUCACCAUCAUCACAUUUCCAAAGGAUUUAAGAAAGCUUACAAAAAUAUAUGACAUUUUUAAAAGUGAGGAAAUCGAGGAUAUGGGUAAAUAGGGACAUCCAGAUCUC